rnacentral:rRNA from 1 species
CCUACGGGUGGCUGCAGUGGGGAAUAUUGGACAAUGGGGGAAACCCUGAACCAGCGACGCCGCGUGAGUGAAGAAGUAUUUCGGUAUGUAAAGCUCUAUCUGCAGGAAAGAAAAUGACGGUACCUGACUAAGAAGCCCCGUCUAACUACGUGCCAGCAGCCGCGGUAAUACGUAGGGGGCAAGCGUUAUCCGGAUUUACUGGGUGUAAAGGGAGCGUAGGCGGGAGCGCAAGUCCGGAGUGAAAUGCCGGGGCCCAACCCCGGAACUGCUCUGGAAACUGUGAAGCUGGAGUGCAGGAGGGGUAGGCGGAAUUCCUGGUGUAGCGGUGAAAUGCGUAGAUAUCAGGAAGAACACCGACGGCGAAGGCGGCUUACUGGACUGUAACUGACGUUGAGGCUCGAAGGCGUGGGGAGCAAACAGGAUUAGAUACCCGGGUAGUC